GACGAACGCUGGCGGCGUGCUUAACACAUGCAAGUCGAACGCUGAAGCUUGGUGCUUGCACUGGGUGGAUGAGUGGCGAACGGGUGAGUAAUACGUGAGUAACCUGCCCUUGACUCUGGGAUAAGCCUGGGAAACUGGGUCUAAUACUGGAUACGACAUGUCACCGCAUGGCGGUGUGUGGAAAGGGUUUUACUGGUUUUGGAUGGGCUCACGGCCUAUCAGCUUGUUGGUGGGGUAAUGGCUCACCAAGGCGACGACGGGUAGCCGGCCUGAGAGGGUGACCGGCCACACUGGGACUGAGACACGGCCCAGACUCCUACGGGAGGCAGCAGUGGGGAAUAUUGCACAAUGGGCGAAAGCCUGAUGCAGCGACGCCGCGUGAGGGAUGACGGCCUUCGGGUUGUAAACCUCUUUCAGCACGGAAGAAGCGAAAGUGACGGUACGUGCAGAAGAAGCGCCGGCUAACUACGUG
rnacentral:rRNA from 1 species